CUCCAUUCAGGCCAUAUUCCCGGGUCCCCUCCACUACAGAGCCAUGCAACGCCUCAAGGCGAGGUACCUACGCCGCAGGCCCACGUACGAUCAAAUCGUCCCGGUGACGACGGAAGUUCGUGAGGAACUGUCAUGGUGGCUGGACAGCAUGCAAGCCUGGAACGGCAGGGCCAUAUUCGGAGACACCCCAGACUUCGUACUGGAGUCAGACGCCAGCUUGUGGGGCUGGGGCGCCACCAGCGGGUCCAUAUCCACAGGAGGAACAUGGACAGCGCAGGAACUCUCCAUGCACAUAAACUGCCUGGAACUCCUGGCGCUCCGCAGCCUGGCCCGAGACAGAUCCAACUGCUGCAUCCUCCUACGCAUGGACAAUGUCUCCGCAGUCCGAUAUAUCAAUCGCCUGGGGGGCGCACGUUCACGUCUACUGUCAAACAUCACAAAGGACAUUUUCAACUAUUGCCUACCCCGCAACAUCGCUCUCUAGGCCGAAUACCUGCCCGGGGAAAUCAACCUCACGGCCGACUGGUUCUCUCGCCACUGGAGGGACGUCAGCGAUUGGAGACUGAACACGAGGAUCUUCAGAGCCCUGGCGACCCAGAGGGGUCCCUUUCACCUGGAUCUGUUUGCGUCCCGCAACAACCACCAAACCCCGGAGUUCUUCAGCUGGCUCCCGGACCCGGAGAGCAAGGCGACGGAUGCCUUUCUACAACAAUGGCCAACGACCGGAGCCUAUGCCUUUCCCCCAUUUGCCAUGAUCGCAAGAACAUUACACCAGAUGCGGCCGCAACAGGUCACUCUGGUCCUCAUAACACCCUUGUGGCAGAGCAAACCAUGGUUUCCGGACCUCCUAGCCACCUCCUGCAGGGAUCCUCUCCUCCUUCCAUCCUUUCCGGAGCUGCUCACGGAUCCCAAAGGGAAUCUUCACCCGCUUCUCUUGGAAGAUCGACUACCCCUGGUGGCUUGGACUCUUUCCGGGGUUCCUGUCAAGUCAGCGGACUAUCGCAGGCUACCAGGGACCUCUUAUGGGAUUCCUGGGCCCCCGGAACUAGACGCUCCUACCUUUCAGCUUGGACCUCCUGGUCUACUUGGUGUAUGGAAUGGGACGCUGGGGAUUGGCUCCCUAAUGACCGCCUCUCCCUACGCCAAUUGUCAGCCAAGUGCGCUUUUCUGCUCUGUCUCGUGUCCUUUCGACGGGUAUCAGACGUUCGAGCCUUCGACGUUGACGCCUUCGAGAUUGCCCCGGAGGGGGUCACUUUUCACGUUUCCCGUCGCACUAAGUCGGGUUCGACCUCGGUAUUCUACCCCUUUUUCCCAGACGACCCGCAACUCUGCGUCGUGUCCACUCUGCGCAGAUACGUUUCGGUUACCUCCUCGCUCCGGAACUCGGUGUCGGGCCAACUCCUAGUCUCCUAUGUCCGCCCCCACGCGCCGGUCUCGGUCACCACACUGGCCCGGUGGAUUCGAUGGAUCCUCUCCCUCGCCGGUAUAGACCCUACUUUCGGCGCCCACUCCGUUCGAGGGGCGGCGGCUUCCUCAGCCUUCCUAGCGGGGGCGUCACUGUCAGACAUCCUCCGAGCGGCGGAUUGGUCUCGGGAAUCCACUUUCCGUACCUUUUAUUUUCGCACUCCCCCUUCUGCUGGGACAUCUCUCCUUCAGCGUUAAAAUUGCAAAAUAGGAAGCCUCCUGUCAUGUUAUAAAAUUGAAGAUUAUGCUAGCUUUAAUGUACUAAUAAUCUUAAUUUUAAUAAGGACAGGAGGCGAGUAUUUUCCCUCCCUUUUGUUCCCUACCCUGACGCCUCGGGGGAGUGGAUCUCAAGGUGACGGACUUUUGUUUUGGCUUGUCAGUGCUUGCUACUUCCUUGGGGUGCACGCAGUUUCUAUCCCGUCUCUCAUCCCAGAACUAGGUCUUUGACAACCAGGUUACGUUGCACCACAUAUUCACAUAACACGUAAUUACCUAACAUUACACACACUACUGUGUAUAUCACCACUUAGUUGGACACACUCUGAUAUGGCUCUCAUGCGUGACCAGUUACGGUUCAGUACCUAACCUAUUUCAUACUCUUCUUUCAGUGUAAUCCUCUUCAGGACCUCCACUGGUUGUUGGUUUGGUUACCCUCACGACUCCGCCUACGAGGAUAAAGGCUUCGUUUCGUCUUCUUCCAACCUCGUUUACCAGGAGUCUCAUCAAGUUCUGCUCACCAGAGACCGCUGUUGAUUGUUUCGUUGGUUCUAUCGUUUCGAGAUCAGUCUGGACUUGGAUGUCGCUUCAAGAAAGAGGAAGUGUACAGGCAGCAUGACCCUUAUAUAUACUAUGCUGCUCAGUGAUUUAAUGUUACUCUUUACGUUUUUCUUUACUGCUGUGGAGUUUAGUAAAGAGAGUUAAUGCAAAAUACUCGCCUCCUGUCCUUAUUAAAAUUAAGAUUAUUAGUACACUAAAGCUAGCAUAAUCUUCAAUUAUCAUCUGUAAUAGUAAUGGCAGAACUAUAGAUAUAGCAGGGAGUAUAAUGAGAAAGUCCGGUGAAUACACUCUUUAAUCUCAGCUAAUCCUAGGUCUAAGAGGUAGUAAAUCAUAGUCCUCUUUCCUUGUCAAUCACAUUAAAGGAACACUCCAAUGGAAACAUUUUUAUUUAACAAUUUAGUAUAUAUACCCCUAAAGAAAGCAUGUAGGCAUUUAAUUAAGCAAUUUUUGCCACUGUUGGUAUAUAAAAUUUGGUUGCAACGGCUGCAUAUCUCUUGUCUAUAGCCUUUGUAAGCCCUACCCUUCAUCUACAGCCCAGACUUUCUGUGGCAUCCAAUCACAAACUUCCCAAUGCAGCUCAAUGAGAAAUCUUUGCAAGGCAGGUGCUCUGGACAAUUGCUGCCUCGAGUUUAGUUCCACUGAGCUAACCAAAAAGUAAGAGGAUUGUCUGAUUGGCAGCCAGAGGGAUGUAACAAGGUUUUGCCAUUUUUAAUAAAAGUGAAAAAAAAAUUAAAAAGUGCACUUUUUGUAAAAUAAAUAAAUAAAAAGCAAUUCAGCAAGCUAAAGUGCUUAAGAUGUGUGGAGUACCCCCUUAAGUGUGGGACCUACACUGUAAUAUACUAAAUCAGAGAGGACAGACCCCAGAUCUCUCUCUCCUGACCCUGGGCAUGUAUGUAAGAUAGGACGAAAGAUGCAAGGGAUGUCGCCAGGAGCUGGAAGAGACAAAAUAACAGAAAUGGAGCCCCUUAUCAUUUUGUUAUACUUAAGUGUAUUCAUUUAUAUUGUAACAUGUAAAAAUAAUAGCUGGGAUGAACAAAUGCUAUAAUAAAACUACAUUUUUAUGUAUAUCAUUAAGCAACUGUUUUAUACUGGUCUGCUAAACCUCAGUGAUAGGUUUCCAAACUAUAAUAUGACAUUGUUUCUUUAUGACGGAUUGCAGUGCCUAAUGUCCUGGGAGCUUACUAACUUCUUAUAUUAGCUAUUAAAAGCAUUAUAGUGACAGAAUAACAUAAGUAUUUCAGUUAGUACUGUACUGGCUUACACAAUCUCACUCCUUGUUUUCCUGCUGAAUGAAAAUGACCAGCCCGCCUAAAUGUUAAAACAUACAGAGGGUCAUUUUUUUUAUUAUUAUUUUUAACUCAUCUGGUGUAAUGUCUUACUUCACAGUAAACGUUUCCAUUACUGGAUGUACAUAUGUGUCUAUAGACUGUGUAUACACACACUUUAUUAUCCAUUAUUUAUAAUGUGCCAACAUUCAGUUUGCUCUAGCAAAUUAAAA